GAUGAACGCUGGCGGCGUGCCUAACACAUGCAAGUCGAGCGGCAGCGAGGGGUGCUUGCACCCUGUCGGCGAGCGGCGGACGGCUGAGUAGCGCGUGGGAACGUGUCCCAAAGUGAGGAAUAACUGCCCGAAAGGGUAGCUAAUACCGCAUAUUAUCUUCGGAUCAAAGGAUUUAUCCGCUUUGGGAGCGGCUCGCGUCGGAUUAGGUAGUUGGUGAGGUAAUGGCUCACCAAGCCGACGAUCCGUAGCUGUCUGAGAGGAUGACCAGCCAGACUGGAACUGAGACACGGUCCAGACUCCUACGGGAGGCAGCAGUGAGGAAUCUUCCACAAUGGGCGAAAGCCUGAUGGAGCAACGCCGCGUGCAGGACGAAGGCCUUCGGGUUGUAAACUGCUUUUAUAAGUGAGGAAUAUGACGGUAACUUAUGAAUAAGGAUCGGCUAACUACGUG
rnacentral:rRNA from 1 species